AAUUGAAAAGCUAUUGCAGCGUUGGCUUUUUAAUCCAGAGAUUGAUAUUAUUAUCCUCAAUUA
rnacentral:tRNA from 1 species